CAGCUACUCAGGAGGCUGAGGCAGGAGAAUCGCUUGAAUCCGGGUGGUGGAGGUUCCAGUGUGUCGAGAUCGCGCCAUUGCACUCCAGCCUGGGCAACAAGAGCAAAAUUCCGUCUCAAAAAAUAAAAUAAAAUAAAAUAUAAAAUAAAAUAAAAUAAAAUAAAUAAAAUAAAAUAAAAUAAAAUAAAAUAAAUAAAAAAGGAGCUGUCCAAGAAAGAGAUGUCAGUGUUUGGUCAUGGAGGUGGUGCCCACCUGUAGUCCCAGCUACUCAGGAGGCUGAGGCGGGAGACCACUUGAGCCCAGGAGGUCUGGGCUGCAGUGUGCUGUGCUGAUUGGGUGUCCACACUAAGUUCAGCAUCAGUAUGGUGAGCUCCCAGGAGUGGGGCACCACCAGGUUGCCUAAGGAGGGAUGAACUGGCCCAGGUCAGAAAUAGAGUAGGUCAAAACUCCUAUGCUGAUUGGUAAUGGGAUUACUACACCUGUGAAUGGCCAGUGCACUCCAACCUUGGCAACAUAGUGAGAUCCCAUCUCUAAAAAAAAAGAAUGAAAAACAGAAUUUGUAAUGGAUCAGAAGGGGGUAGGGAGGGAGGGAAAGAGGAAUCAAAAAGGCUCCUAGAUUAUUGGCUUGAGCAACUGCAUGAUGAUCGUGCCACUUGGUAUAUGGAAAGAUAGGAAGAGGAGCAGAUUUGGAGGCAACUGAAACAAGAAUUCCAUUUUAGACACUGAUUUUGAGAUGUCUAUUAAUUAUGCUCAGAGAAGGUCAGGGCUGUAAAUGUAAACUUGGGUGUUGUCAGCAUAGAGAUGGUAGUUAGAAGGCCAUUAGAGUGGAUGCUAUCAACACUGGAGAUAGUUUGACAACAGGACAGAGGACAGAGCCUGGGGACUCCUACAUUUAAGGCCCAGCAGAACAGCAAAGUCAUCCAAAGAACCUGAGAGGUUGAAAUAAACAGGUAAGUGACUACUGGAUUUGGCAAGACGGAGGUCACUGGUGACUCUGACAAAACCAAGUGCAGUAGAAAGGAAGCCUGAUUGGACUGGGCUGCCAAGGGAAGAGGAGUUGAUGGAGUGGGACAUUAUCUCUAAACUCUAAACAAGAAGUUUUGCUACGAAUGAGAGCAGAAAAAUGAGGUGGCAGUUAAGGGAGGGCAUGUUAUAGGCUGAUGGGGAUGCACCAAAGGAGAAACUGAUAUAGAAACAGAGGGCUCAAUUAUAAGAGCAAAGUCAUGGAUGAAUCAAGAAAGGACAGGAUCUGGAGUACCAAUAGACAAGUGGGCCUUUAGUGAGAGCAGGGACAUUUGCUCUAUCAUAACAAGUGGGGUAAGAAGGCUCUUAUGUAUCUUAGGGUCCCCAACUACUAGUAUGGAGUGGGGCUGAGAGCAGGCCCUUGAGAAAUGGUGGCUAUGAUUCUAUGGCUAACAAUGGCUCAGCUCUCAACUCCAGGAUCACCUCCUCCUGGGGCCAUCUCUGACUCCCAUUUGAUGCCUCUUUCAGUUCCCACAUACCUAGUGUUUCUCCCAACAUGGCAUUUAGGAAAUAUUUGUAGAAUGGAUCAUGUUUGACACACAGAGCAGAUCAUUUUUAUACCCCCCUCCUCUAAAAAUAAAAUUAUUUCCAUAAUUCAAAUUUCAUAUUUUCAAAUCAUCAUAAAAUGAAACAAAUCAUAAUAAUGGCCAGAAAAAGGAAAGGCAAAAGUGAAAAAUUUAUUUGCCAAAAUUUGUAUGCAUACUCACAUCAUAAAAUAAAUACAUAAAAUUAAUAUUAUGGCUCCAAAAAAUGAAAAAGGCACAACUAUUUAUUUCAAUCAUUUUCACAUCUACCUGUUUAAAUUUUGAUCCUUUCUUUACAAUCUGAUAUACUCCCUUAUGUAAAUGGUCAUCCAGCAACCAACAAGCAAAUUUUAAUAAAACCAAAGCAUCUAAAUAAGAUACAAUUUAGGCAAUAAUACUUAGGCUAUAACAUUUAUUUCCUUUAUUCAUCUUUCAUUUUAAAACCAUUAACAAGUAUAAAGGAAUAGGUUUUCAUUUCAAAGGUAAAUUUUUAUUCAAAUUCAGUAACAUAUUUCAUGUACAAAUUAAAAAUUUGCACUUAACAAACAAAAAUGUUUUGCCUCUCAGUUUGCACUCUGUCCCACUGGUUUUUGUUUUUUUUUUGUUUUGGUUUUUUUUUUUUUUUUUUUUUUGACACAGAGUCUCGCUCCAUUGCCCAGGCUAGAGUGCAGUGGCGCGAUCUCGGCUCACUGCAAGCUCCGCCUCCCGGGUUCAUGCCAUUCUCCUGCCUCAGCCUCCCAAGUAGCUGUGACUACAGGCGCCUGCCACCACUCUUGGCUAAUUUUUUUGUGUGUGUGUAUUUGUAGUAGAGACGGGGUUUCACUGUGUUAGCCAGGAUGGUCUCGAUCUCCUGACCUCAUGAUCCGCCCACCUCGGCAUCCCAAAGUGUUGGGAUUACAGGCAUGAGCCACCGCGCCUGGCCUGUCCCACUGUUUUAACACAAAAGUCCAACUGGUUACAUAGAAUGACAGAAUUGAAAAAAGUCAAGCCCUGUUUGUCUUUGUCAUCACUGACAGUAACUCAUGAUUGUUUAUUCUGAAUCUACAGUGUAAACUUGGAUGUGUCUAAUACCACAGGGGUAGGAGAUGUGACCCUUGCCUAAAGUGAGCUCCAAAGAUGGGUAUUGGUGUGACUAUAUAACCAAGCAUUCUCCAAAUGAACUUCCACAUAGAAUGCAAUAUUUAUUAAAGGAUCGCUAAUAAAAAUGUGUUAGUGUGAAGUUUACAUGUACAAAUAAAAUUCAGUAUCUACAGCAAUUAUUUAGAACUUAAACCAACAAAAGAUUUUUUAGGAGAGGAGUAUUUCAACAGUAUUUAAAAAUCACUGGCACACAGCAAUAAUAAAAGGCAGACCAACUUUUAGUUGGAUCUAUUAUUGUUAAGCUCUUUAUAGAUAUGCACCCCUUCUAGCCUGCAUGUGGACAGACUGCUACCACCGCCCACUUUAAUAUGCCAAGGGGCCCCAAGUCUUCUUGACCCUGCCAGGUGGCCCUGUAUUAUCUCUGCCUGGAAUGCUCUUCCCCCUUUUCUUCAUCUACUAACUCCAUUUGUUUUACCAAUAUUUAAUGAGUGUCUACUAUAGGCCACUCUCCCUUGGGGUCACCUCCAGGAAGCCUUUGCUGCACCCCGACGUCCCAUUUCCAUGCCCCAUUCCCAGAAGUAGUAUUUGGUUGAACUGCAAGGACUACUGGGAACUCAUUUCCAAGUGACUACUGCAGUCGGGAUAUGUUUCGAACCAUGCCAUCUGUUUGAGAUGAAGUCUGGACUCAAGGUCUGGGAUUAAAUUCCAGCCUGAGAUUUUGAAAUCUGUGAUUUAAUCUUCCUGAUUCUCGCUUCAUUAGCAACCAGCACCUCAGAGGAUUAGUUUCCUGAUUUAUGAAUGAUCCCAUUAACAUCUUUAUCGAAUGCCUCAAAGCAUAGGAAAGGUCAUCCUCUAACCCAUAUGCUGCAGAAUGACUCCAGAACUUGUUUCUCUGCCUGGAGUGUCCUUCCCACUCGUCACUAAUGCUUCCCCCACCCAACUCCUACCUGUCUUAUGCCUUCCCUGAUACCCAGGCUGGCCUAGGUGCCUCCUCUGCACUUGCACUGCCCCGGGUUACCCAUAUCUUAGUACAGAGAACUGAUUGAGUACAGAGAACUUAGUAGAGAACUACAUCAGUAACUGUAGUUACUGAUGAUGUCAUUAUUACCUGUUUGCUUAAAAGAAUCUUCUUUUUCUGCCUUCUGCUGUCCUGCUCUAAGGACCACAUAUGUACAUUCUGUUCUGUUGCCUCUCUUUGGUGCUACUCAAAGUGUGGUCUGUGGUUAACAAUGGUUUGCAAAUUUCACCAGUCUGCAACUGGAUAGCUACAGAAAUUGAAAGAAGCUGUCUUGAAAUUUCUUGAACUCUUGGGCUCAAGAAAUCCUCCCACUUCAGCCUCCCAAAAUGCUGGGAUUACAGGCAUAAGCCACAGCACCCAGCCAUGAAGUAAUUUUUGAACAAAUCAACUUUGAGGUUACCUAUGAGAAAUGGGAAUGUCCAGGAAGCAGUUACAUAUAUGAGCUAGAAGCUCAGGAAACAAAGUCUGGGCUGGAGUUAUGGAUUUCAGAAUUGAAGCCAUCAGAAUGAACAAGAGCCCCUGAGAUGUGGAAUGAAAAGGGGAGCAUCUAAGGACAAACCUCUGGGUACCUAGCACUGUGUCUGCCACAUGGGAGAUAAUUAGGAACCCUUUGUCAAAUGAAGAGGUAGAUAGACAUGAACAUAAGUCUCUUUCAUGCCCAGUCCAAGCUUUCCUUACUAACCCUAUUUUACUCUUAAAUUGCACAGCAUUCAGAUAGACACUGCUGGGGCUGGCAGUGGGGUAAGAAAGAUGACCAGAAAAGGGAAGGCUGAAGGCCAAUUGCGGUGACUCACAUCCAUAAUCCCAGCACUUUGCAAGGCCGAGGUGGGAGAAUUGCUUGAGCCCAGGAGCUCCAGACCAGCCUGGGCAACAAAGCAAGACCCCGUCUCUUCAAAAAUAAACAAUAAAAAUGGCCAGGCAUGGUGGCAAGUGCCUGUAGUCCUAGUACUUGGGAGGCUAAGGUGGGAGGAUUGCUUGAGCCUAGGAGUUCAAGGUUAAAGUGAGCUAUGUUCAUGCCACUGUACUCCAGCCUGGACAAAAAGACUGAGACCCUGAUGCUAAAAAAUAAAAAAAGAAAAUAAAAAAAAGAAAGAAAAAGAAAACAUUGGAGAGAGCUGGAGUAACCAGUCCUGAACCUGGAGGUUUGGUGGGAGAUGAAGAGGAGGCUAGAAGAAAAAGUCAGAGCCAGGUUUUGAAGGUACAGGCUUAGACUUCAUCGUAAAUUAUAGAUAGGUGCUCUCUGUUUCCUGACAGUGUAAAGAAGAUAAGGACAGAGGUACAAGUAUUGCACCAUUGUUUGUAAUAGUAAAAGAAAUUUGGAAACAACCUAACUACCUACCGACAGGAGAAUAAAUACAUGUUGGUAUGGUCAAACAAUGGGAAUCCAACUUCAAUUAGAAUGAAUAAAUUAAAAUGUCAUGUGUCAUCAUAAAUCUCAAAAAUGCAAUCUGCUAAGUGUAAUGUGGUAUCCUGGGUAGGAUCCUGGAAAAGGACAUUAGUGGAAAAACUGGUGAAAUCUGAAUAAAGUCUAUAGCUUAGUUAAUAGUAUUGUACCAACGUUUAUUUCUUAGUUUUUGUUUUGUUUUGUUUUGAGAUAGUCUUGCUGCGUCGCCCAGGCUGGAGUGCAAUGGCGCGAUCUCAGCUCACUGCAAGCUCUGCCUCCAGGGUUCAAGCAAUUCUCCUGUCUCAGCCUCCGGAGUAGCUGGGACUACAGGAGCGUGCCACCACACCCAGCUAAUUUUUUGUAUUUUUAGUAGAGAUGGGGUUUCACCGUGUAAGCCAGGACAGUCUCGAACUCCUGACCUCAUGAUCCGCCCACCUCGGCCUCCCAAAGUGCUGAGAUUACAGGCUAUUUCUUAGUUUUGAUAAAUGCACCACAGUUAUGUAUGGUGUUAACAUUAGAAGCUGACUGAAAGGCAUACAGUAACUGUACUACUUUUGCAAUUUUCCUGUAAACCUAAAAUUAUUCCCAAAUAAGAAGGUUUAAAAAUAUAAGCUCAAAAAAAAAAAAAAAAAAACAAGUUGCAAAGGAAUUCAUGCAAAAUAACAGCAUUUACAAAAAGCUUUAAAACAUGCAAAAUAGUAGAAAUUGUUUAUGGAUACACCAACAUAUGUAAUAAAGACAUAAAAACAUCCAUGGGAAUGAUAGAUACCUAAUUUGAGAUAGUAAGAUUAAGAAAAACACAGGCCGGGCAUGGUGGCUUAAGCCUGUAAUCCCAGUGUUUUAGGAGACCGAGGCAGGUGGAUCGCUUGAGCCCAGGAGUUUGAGACCAGCCUGGGCAACACAGUGACACUUCUUCAUCUCUACAAAGCAUUAAAGAAUAUAUAUAUAGCUGGGAGUGGUGGUGUGCACUGUGGUCCCAGCUGUUAGGGAGGCUUAAGUAGGAAGAUUAAUUGAGCCCAGGAGGUCAAGGCUGCAGUGAGCCAUGGUCACACCACUGCAUUCCAACCUGGGUGGCAGAGAGAGACCUUGUCUCAAAAAAAAGGAAAACAGAAUAAUGCGUUUAACUAAAUUAUUUUUUUUUAAGAUGGGGUUUCGCUUUGUUGCCCAGGCUGGUCUCAAACUCCUGGGCUCAAAGCAAUCCUCCUGCCUUGGCCUCCCAAAGUGCUGGGAUUAUAGGUGUGAGCCACCAUGCCAGCUGAAGCACAAUUCUGACCAAUUUUUUUAUAUAAGUAGUAGUUAGGUUCUAUAAUACAUCCGUUUAAAUAUAAUCCCCAAGAUCUUUAGCUAACUUUUUUUCCUUCUUUAGCUAACCUUAUUUAUUUAUUUACUUAUUUAUUUAUUUCGAGAUGGAGUUUCGCUCUCGUUGUCCAGGCUGGAGUGCAAUGGCGUGAUCUCGGCUCAUCGCAACCUCCACCUCCAGGGUUCAAGUGCUUUUCCUACCUCAGCCUCCUGAGUAGCUGGGAUUACAGGCAUGCACCACCACACCAGGCUAAUUUUUUCUUUAUUUUUAGUAGAGACGGGGUUUGUCCAUGUUGCUCAGGCUGGUCUCGAACCCCUGACGUCAGUUGAUCUGCCCGCCUUGGACUCCCAAAGCACUGGGAUUACAGGCAUGAGCCACUGCACCCGGCCAGCUAACUUUAAAACCUAGGUUAAAUAUUAAAUAAUAAUUUUUGGGUAUCUGGAUAAUUUCUAAUUAAGAUAGAAUGCUCAAACAUGGGUCACCAAGCAUAGUCUGUCUACCUUUACUUCUUACUUUUCUAUAUUAUGGAGUGGCUUAACCUUUGGGUCAUUUUCAUGAGUGUGUUCAUCAUUGCCAUUUUAAGAAAGUGUAGGCCAGGCCCAGUGGCCCACGCCUAUAAUCCCAGCACUUUGGGAGGCUGAGGCAGGUAGAUCACUUGAGGUCAGGAGUUUGAGACCAGCCUGGCCAACAUGGUGAAACCCCGUCUCUAGUAAAAAUACAAAAAUUAGCCAGGCGUGGUGGCACAUGCCUGUAAUCCCAACUACUGAAGAGGCUGAAGCAGGAGAAUUGCUUGAACCCGGGAGGCGGAGGUGCAGUGAGCCGAGAUCGUGCCAUUGCACUCCAGCCUGGGUGACAGGGUGAGACUCUGUCCCCCCCGCAAAAAAAAAAAAAAAAAAAAAAGUAUAAAAAAGAUAUAUGUAUAUGGCUGUGGGGGUCAUAUUAUAUAUUCUUUGUAAACACUGUUGAUUUGAUAAAAUGUUUGUAUAUAAUAGAUAGUUCUCCAUGCCCUACCUCCCAGUUCUCUCCCUCCCUGAAACAGAACUUAGCUACUUAGGUAAAGUUGGAAAGAGGGUGAUUGAUAAAGUUGGAAGAAGGGUGAUUGAUACUGGGACCAACAGAGGCAGAGGAGUACGUCUGUGUGUUCGGUAUACAGAUUAUUUUCUCCAUAAGAAAACAAAAGCAAUUCUUAAAAUCAAACUAAUCCUAUUCCAGCAGGUACAGUUAAAAAAAAUAAAAUAAACUGAAACAUAUGUUUGUAUUAUAUUCUACACUGGUAAAAUCAGUAAAAAGAUGUUACUUUUUAGGGCAAAAUCAUCAAAUCAGUCUGACUUGCCCAAGGAUUAAACCUUUCCUGAUUACAUGAACCGUGGAUUAUUGUAUAAAAUUGCUUCUGAGCUAGCAGUUUCUAUGAAAAAGGUUUUUGUUUUGUUUUGCUUAUCCCAUUUAAAGUAUUAGGAGUUCAGCUUCUUUGUUUUCUGGGAGUUUGGGCAAAAUUGGAUUUACAAAAGCUCUUACUGGUCUCUAUAAACCAAUCAGGACAAAGCCCCUUUAAUUUAAAUCUUUAUAAUCUAAUUUGUUAAUACCCUCAGGAGGUAGAAAAAUUUUCCCCAUUCACACAAUGAGAUUUAAGGCUUUUCUCAUUUACAGGCCUAGAGACCCCAGAGUUUGCAGCUUCAUUUUUAUAACUCCUCAUCGGUCAGUAGCCACAGAACCACAAAAACUCACCAGUUCAGACAGAUCUCAAAGGGCUCUUCUCCUUCUUUUGGGCACAAAAGAGUUUAAGUGACUUGAUCUCACAAAUAAACAAUCUGUCAUACAAAAUGAACUAACAGGCUGGGUGCGGUGGCUCAUGCCUGUAAUCCCAGCACUUUGGGAGGCCAAGGCGGGCAGAUCACCUGAGGUCAGGAGUUCAAGACCAGCCUGGCUAACAUUGUGAAACCCCAUUUCUACUAAAAAUACAAAAAAUUAGCAGGGUAUGGUGGUAUGCACCUGUAAUCCCAGCUACUUGGGAGGCUGAGGCAGGAGAAUCACUUGAACCCAGGAGGCAGAGGUUGCAGUGAGCUGAGAUCACGCUAUUGCACUCCAGCUUGGGCAACACGAGGGAAACUUUGUCAAAAAAAAAAAAAAAAAAAAAAAAGAGCUAACAAACGAGAUUCUCUGUCAUCUCUCACCUAUCAGAGACUAGAUCCCACCAGCCACCCAGCAGAGAUCACCAGUGGUCAAACCAUGAAACCAGGCUCCUAACCAAGUCUGCUGCCUACCCAGGGGGAAGCUCACCACCCUGCACAAAUUCAACUUGAAUGCGUGGGCUGCCUUCUCACCCCAAUCCCCUGCAUUCAUGGGCAGGCUAUGGAACAGCAAAAAUACAAGUUAGAUGACUCACAAACAACCCUAGCCAAUAACCAGAAACUGAAAGAAUCAGAAGGAAAAAUGGGGAAACAGUCAGCAAAAGUAAAGUUCCAAUGCCUCUUGGGAUUCACUCAAGAAGUCAAGAAGAGACAUAGCUGGGCUUAAACAAUUUGUGAGAUUCUAUUGCUAAUUCCAGCAGAAGGCAUCUGGACAGAGCUUCCACUGCUGAAUUCCCAGCACGCAUAUAAGGGAAGAAACCUGAAAUCUCUAAGCAAGACAGCAAGAUCUUGGGAAAGAAAGAAGCUCUACACGGCAGGUGACUGGUUAGUUGAAUAAUCUGAAACUCAGUGGGGGCACAAACAUGAAACUGUUUUAUUUUCCUCCAGUCACUGCCUUCAACUCAGUGUUGUCACAUUUCCCUUCUCUGUGCCUUAACAGUAUCUUGGAUGGGCUCAUUCGUCUUCUAGUCAUUCAAUAUACACUAGUCCUCUCUUAUCCAAGGGGAUACUUUCCAAGAUGCUCCAACGGAUGCCUGAAGCUUUGAAUAAUAUCAGACCCUAUAUAUGCUGUGUUUUUUUCCUAUACGUACAUACCUAUGAUAAAGUUUAAUGUAUAAAUUACACACAGUAAGAGUUUAACAGUAAUAAUAAAAUAAAACAAUUAUAACAAUAUACCAGCAUCACUACUCUAGCACUUAGGGGCCAUUAUUAAGUAAAAUAAGGGUUACUUGAACAUAAGCACUGUGAUACCGCAACAGUUGAUCUGAUAACCGAGACCUUUACCAAGCGACCAAUGAAGGGUAGCAUAGACAGAGUGGAAAUGCUGGACAAAGGGAUAAGUCAAAGAAAUGAUUCCUCCUGAGCAGGACGGAGUGGAAUUGCUUGAGAUCUUACCAUGCUACUCAGAACAACAUGCAAUUUAAAAUUUAUGAAUUGUUUGUUUCUGGAUUUUUCUCAUUUAAUAAUUUCAGAGUGUGGUCGACCUCAGGUAACUGAAACCGCAGAUACAGGAGGAGGGACUACUGUAAUUUAAAACUCCAGUCUCAGCCAGGCGCGGUGGCUCACACCUGUAAUCCCAGCACUUUGGGAAGCCGAGGCGGGUGGAUAACCUAAGGUCAGGAGUUCGAGACCAGCCUGGCCAAAACAGUGAAACCCUGUCUCUACUUAAAAUACAAAAAUUAGCUGGGCAUGGUGGCAGGUGCCUGUAAUCCCAGCUACUUGGGAGGCUGAGGCAGGAGAAUUGCUUGAACCCAAGAGGCGGAGGUUGCAGUGAGCCAAGAUCAUGCCAUUGCACUCCAGCUUGGGGAACAAGAGCGAGACUUUGUAUGAAAAAAACCUCCAGUCUCACAUUCAUCAACCCAUCACCAUCAUCAUUACAUUCCCACCUCUCUCCUCCUCCCCACCCCCUCUCCCAUCCUGAAAGAGAAUCAUCUCUGCACUCUACAGCCAGAUAAACCAGAGAUAACUGUCCAUUUCAAGCUCCUUUCUUCUGCUCUAUUUGAAUAAAAAAAGGAAUGCUCAACAGAUAAUGGACUGAAUGAAACAGCAGACCACACCUUUUUUCUUCUCUAAAUUCCUUGUGUCAAAGCCUGACCUGUAUGGGGAUGGGAAGGUGGGGAAGAGGUUAAACUAGAUUUGAGAUCUGUUAUCCAUACAUUUCUCAUUUGCCUCUGUCUCCCAGUCUGUGACUUCUUAGCUUCCCUUGUUGAAUCUUUACCUUCUUGUCUCUCUGGAGAGCCCUAUCUCCUUUUUAUUCCCUCCUGCUUCCCAUCCCAGUCCUAGCCCUCCCCCAUACUCACCAUGGGCAGUGAAUAAGUUAUAUCUGAAAUCUUGACUUGAGUAAUUUAUUUCAAAGUUUCUCCUGGGAAUCUGGGGAAGAAUUUCUAUAUGGAGAGACUGUCAACCUUGAUAGUCCCCAACAUCCCCAAAACUCUUAGACUUCUUUAUGAAUCUGCCUCAAUUUUCACUCUGGAGAAAGUAAGGGUGAAAAGGAAGUGUAUCAGAAUAGGGAUGGGGUAUAGUGGGGAUAGGAUGGAGAUAGCAAUGGGAGUUGGGAUUCACCUGGAGCUGGAGAUUGCAACAGAUGGGAAAACAGACAGAAAUGAAGAUAGCGAUAUGGAUGCAAUGGAGACCACAUGCAGAUGGGGUUGGGAAAGAAUCUGAGGAUGGACAGAGGGACAGAGGAGAUAAGUGGGAGUGGAAUGGAGAUGGGCAGGUGGAUCUGUAGGGAUCCUUGGCCCCUCCCUGGGACCUAUGAGCUCAGAACCAGUAUGGAGAUAGGAGUGGUGAUGGAAGGAGAGUGGAAGUAGGAAUAGGAUGAGUGUACUUCCUGUGAUGAGGUCUCCUCAUUCAGCAGUCAACACUCGGGUAGGAAACUGGCAGGAUGGCUUGCUUGCUUGCUUUUCCCUCUUUCCCUCUCUCUCUUCCUCCCUCCCUUCCUUCCUUCCUUCCUGAGAUGGGAUCUCACUAUGUUGCCCAGGCUGGUCUUAAACUCCUGGGCUCAAGCAAUCCUCCCACCCCAGCCUCCAAAAGUGCUGAGAUUACAGGCGUGAGCCACUGAACCUGGCUGCAGAGGCCACUUUCCACUUGGAAAUGCUCUAGCUUCUGGCCAAAGUGGGGUUCCGUGAACCAGCAGCAAGGACCUCACCAGGGAGCUUGUUAGAAAUGCAGAAUCCCUGGUCCUUCCCCGGGACCUACUAAACCAGAAUCUGCAUUUAGUAAGAGUCCCAGUGUGCACACUAAAGUUUAAGAAGCAUUGUUCUAGAAAAAAAUUAAAAAGAAAAAAAUGGAAAAUAUAAGUAAAUCAAUGCAUUGUGUGGAAACUUGAAAAUAUAUACAUGCAAAAUGUUUUUAAAAUAAGAUGAUAAAGGAAAAGAAAUAAUGAAAAAGAAGCACUGCUGUAGUGAAUGCCAUGGCUGAAGCAGUGGCCACUCACCUUUCCCAGGCCACACUGCUGUUUCUGUCCCUCUGCAUUGAUGCAUUUCCUCUGGCCAUCCUGUCUGCCAAAUUCAGGAAAAGACACCAGGAGACUGGCAUCAUGAAAACUUCAGGUUAUGCUUCAUGUUUUUUUUUUUUAAUCCCUUAUAAGCACCAUUCAUUUUAAAAAGUUUUAAUGUUUUUAAAACAUUCCACCACCACCCACUUCAAAAAUUAGAAUUUACCCAGCACCCCAAAAGCAGCCCUUCAUCCAUACGAGACUUCCCUCAGGUCACACACCCCAUUCUAUCUCUAGAGGUAACCAUGAUCUUGAAUUUUAUGUUAGCUACUUGCUUGUUUUCCAUUUUACCACUUAUAUACACAUCUCUCAACAAUAUAGUUUCAUUUGGCUUGUUUUUUGACUUACUUUUUUCUUUUUCUAUAGGGACAGACAGUAGACAGGUCUCCCUCUGUCCUGUCAUGACUCACUGCAGCCUUGAACUCCUGGCUCAAGUGAUCCACACACCUCAGCCUCCUAAGUAGCUAGGACUCAUCCUCCACCAUACCUGGCUAAUUUUAUUUUACAUUUUUGUGCAGACAGGGUUUGGCUAUGCUGCCUAGGUUUUGUUUU
rnacentral:lncRNA from 10 species